rnacentral:rRNA from 1 species
GGCCUUCGGGUUGUCAACCUCUUUUAGCAGGGAAGAAGCGAAAGUGACGGUACCUGCAGAAAAAGCGCCGGCUAACUACGUGCCAGCAGCCGCGGUAAUACGUAGGGCGCAAGCGUUAUCCGGAAUUAUUGGGCGUAAAGAGCUCGUAGGCGGUUUGUCGCGUCUGCUGUGAAAUCCCGAGGCUCAACCUCGGGCCUGCAGUGGGUACGGGCAGACUAGAGUGCGGUAGGGGAGAUUGGAAUUCCUGGUGUAGCGGUGGAAUGCGCAGAUAUCAGGAGGAACACCGAUGGCGAAGGCAGAUCUCUGGGCCGUAACUGACGCUGAGGAGCGAAAGGGUGGGGAGCAAACAGGCUUAGAUACCCUGGUAGUCCACCCCGUAAACGUUGGGAACUAGUUGUGGGGACCAUUCCACGGUUUCCGUGACGCAGCUAACGCAUUAAGUUCCCCGCCUGGGGAGUACGGCCGCAAGGCU